UAUUACUGGUGGCUUUUAAAAGACCUUGUGUUGGAUUACUCACACAACACCGACCCCGAGACGCAGAAAACAAUAGGUAUCGAACAAGACGGCAUUUUCAGAAAUAGGAAGCGUUUGACCAUAGAG